rfam:Ornithorhynchus anatinus chromosome 2, whole genome shotgun sequence.
CCCCUCUCAGGAUCACACCUGGAGAGUUUCCAGGACUCUACCAGUCUCGAUUAUGGGAGGGAGAGUCAAGCAGAGGCCUGUCCAUUCCAUUCCUAGCUUGGCAGUAGCUAGUGAGUGGAGGGCAAUCUGCUACAAGU